rnacentral:tRNA from 1 species
GCCUAGAUAGCUUAGUUGGUGGCGCGUCUGCCUUGUAAGCGCUAGGCCGCGGGUUCGAUUCCCGCCCGGGGCG